AAAAACAAAGCAAAACAAAACCCUGGUCAAUAUUUGGAGAUAGCAAUCAACAGGAAUGGGUAAUUUGCAUUAGAGAAAAGAUUUAGCUUUUUGAAACAAAUCCAUAACUACAGCAUGGCUUUUCCAAAGAGAGGUGAAAAGUAGUAGAUAUUGCCAGAAGCCACAAAGAUAUUUGUCAUAAGAAAUGAAAACAAACAAAAAAAGUAUUUCAGCAGUUAAUUUUACCAAAUAUGUGAAACAGUGCCCUAGGUAUUCCAUGCUACUUUCUUUUAAAUAAAAUUAAGCAGACAUUUAACGUGUUCUGAAGCAACAGAAUAAAAAUCUAGAUAAGUACAAAGGGAGGACAGAUAAUGAGAUAAAAGGAAAAAAUGGAAAAAAAAAAAGGAGUAUGUGAAUGCUAUGGGAUGAUACAGCCAGAGAGACAAUACUAGAAUUCAUAAGAUAAUCCUGAUGACACAUAAAAUACGAUAGUGUCCACGGAACACGCAAUGAAGUUCUCCUCCUAAAGUUAAACAUAUUAGGGGUGGGAAGGGAUUGUUAAAAGUUUAUUAUCAUGAUGGAGACCAUUGAAACUGCUGAAUGAUGCAGUAAACAAAUUUAGCGCACAUGCAAAAGCACAACUACUAAGAGAUAGCCUUAUCAUUUAAUUGCACCUGAUUUUGCUCAUCAACCUAUGUCACAUUCUCUAAUAAAAGGCAUGUGGGCUGAAACCUAGGCACCUUUGUUCUGUGGAACAGAGUGCUUCCUGGUCCUCCGCUUUUCUAAAUAUAAGUGUUUUGUGUGUUCUGUUAUACCAUGCUGUCCCUCUUCCAGGAUCUCCCAUUGACCUGCAGCGCUAGCCACCCACAGUGGUGCCCAACAUGGGGCUGGAAGAGAAGGUCUGCCAUGAGUGGAGAAAAGACAAAUUAAGGUCUGCCAUGAGCAGAGAAAAAAAGGAAGGUCUGCCCAGAGCAGGAAAAAGUGAAACUACAGACGGCUGCAGAAACAGUAGCCUUGCACUGAAUGGAGUCGCGACUGUGAGUAGGCAAGUAGAAACUUUAAACCAGGAUAACAAUAGAGAAGAAUCAAGAUGCUAAAACAUUAUAUUCAGUUACUUAAAUGUAUGAUAAAACAGUCAGGGUCUCGGGUAACAGACUCGUAAGAGAGAGGAGUUGUUAGAAGCCUCGGUCAACUGUAACCCUUGGUUUCCAGGCAAGGGUACUGUGGACCCGGAGUGUUGGAUUGGCAUCUUGUAGAAGAAAAUUUAAAGUGUGCCCAUCAGCCUAGGACCUCUCUUUCUGUUUCUAUUUUCUCUACAUGAGAACUAGUGAGACACGUUUCGGAACCCUUGGGGGAGCAUAAAUUUGAAUCCAAUCUCUCUUGUAACUGACAGGUUUUACACAGAUGUACAUUAUUCAUGGCUAAAAUUUCAAAAUGAGAAAUAUGAGGUCUCUGUUUCGCUUGUUUUGUGUCGUUGUGUGUUGUGCAUAUAUGGUAUUGCCAAAAUUCAUAAAAGAGCUCUACUUAAUUGGCUUAAAGGAAAUUAAGUGCUUACAUAAGUUUUCAAAAUACCUAAAGUAAAUUAAUUUUUGGUUCAUGUGAAUUACAAAAAAUUCAGUAUUCAAUAUUAUUAGAUGUUAAUAUCAAAGUUCAUUGAUCUAAUAUAGACAUGUCUUUAUAGAGUCAUCAACAGUAAGUAUAACACCUUAUUGUACCUAGGUUUAAUGGAGGAAUGUAACUGCAUUUUAUUAAUAGAGUCUGCCUUAUAGCUUGUUACUUUCAAUAGAAAAGGGGGAAAAUAAUACAGAUACAAAAAGUGAUGAAAGGUUUUUGGAAAAUGAACAAUAAGAAUUUGUUCAUGGUUGGGGCUAAGUUUAAAAUUUCAGUAAACCAAUUUUAAAAGUAAGCAAAUGCAAAACCUGAAUCUGGAUUCAGUCUCUAUUGAAAAAAGAUUUUCUCAAGUCAGGACUAUGGGAAAUCCAAGAUGCCUCUUGGUUCUUACCGGCUCCCUGGCAAUUCCAAUAAUGAAAAAGAAAUGGUUAGAAAACAUGUUUUCCAUUUGGGGAAGAUUUUCUAUAGUCCUAAUUUGGCUACGUUUGGUAAAAAUGAGGGUAAUUUUAAAGAGCGCUUUGAUUGAAUUCUAGUUUUGUAUAUUGAGAUCAGUGUUUACUGUCUGGGAUUCACUUCCCAAAUAGUUCUUUGCUGCUAUGUUACAUCAUUAUAAACUUAUAACUGAGUUAUUAAGAGAAAUAAGCCUUUUCUGAAGCUGAUUGCUGUAAUCUGUCUCUGGGAGAAUAUCAGAUAUCCCAUGAUAACCGGGGAAACAAAUAUACAUUCUGGAAAAGCAUCAUCUAAAGAGUUGUCUUCAAAAAGGGUUGUCUUCAGCCUAAGAUAUUUAUCAGGAAUUAAGUGCCAUAUUUACAAAGAUAGUGAAGAAAGUUAACUCCUAAAUUUAUACUUCUCACUUAAGAAGGGCCUCUACAUUGGACUGGUCUAUAGAGAGAAUUAGUGACUUCAAACUCGCCCUAAAACAAGGCUCUAAUAAGAAAAACACUAUUGCCUGGACAAAAAGAAGACAACACCAGAAGUAGACCACUAUCUCAAGACUGUCAAACCUGAUUCAUAUGGUUAUUUGUUUUACUUUUGAUUUACCCUGAUGGGUUUCUCCUCUCCAAGGCUUUCAUUAUUGAUGUUACUAGGUGGGACUCCCCCACACCUAGCCAGUUAAUAACCUGCUCUGACCUAGGCCAUAAAUGUUUUCUUCUGAUGUUACUCAAGCUCAAUCAGCAACAAGUGAGACUUCAGCCAAGGGCUAUAACUUUGCCAGGCUAUGUUAAUAUAAAUCUAAAGACUCCUUUAUGUUGGGAACAAUUAAACCAUCUAGGGAUAACCAGCUUAAUAACACUAGGAAAUUAAGCUGAAUGGACAAAGCCAGUAUAUAAUUUCCUUUAAAGAUAAGAAACAACUAAGCCAGCUGAACAGGGUGAAAGUGCUUCACUUAAAUUUUUGUUUAUGACUUUACUUAUACUGCCAUAUUUUUAUUAAUACUGCUAUAUUUUUAUUAACUGUUUUCACAAGAUUGCUAUUUCUUCCAUUGCCAAAUUUGUGACUGAGGCUGAUAAAAUGAUAUACAGUUCCAUAUGAGGUCAGUGAUUUCUAGAUAUGGGAAAAUGAACAAGAGGGAAUAUUUUCCUGGACCAUAACAGACUAGAAAGAUAGGUGGUCCAGAGAUUUUUUUGGUUACUAUUAAUAAGGCCUAGUUCAGUAACAGCAUAUUGAGUUGCUUAUUAGUGAAAUCUUUGCCAGAUCUAGGAAUGUUCAUUCCUAGCACCAUGGGAUGAAAUGAUGAUGAUAUGCCUCUCAAAAGUUUAUGAAUUUAUGACCAUGGGGAAACAGUGAACUGAAGUUUGGCACUUGGCAUCAGCCUCUACAUGGAGUAAAACGUGAGCCACUGCAGCCUGCUGACCCUCAGCACCCCCUGAGCAGAGCUCAGCGUGAAGAUCAGAAGAGACACUCUGUGCUCUGGGAAAACUGACAGAGCAGACCUUUAGAAAGUUAGAUUUCAGUAGGAAUCUACCAUAUCCAGCCACUGAGUACUCAUUGCCCCUAUCCAGCAGGAAGUAGCUACAGAAGAGAGGAUCAUCGCCCUAUCCCAUUAAAAAAAAACUAGAAAAAUGGGUUCCCAGGAGGAUGGAGACAGACCCCCUUCCCCUGAAUGUGACUGUUCAACUUGGAGACCUGCUGUAGAAUCAGAUGAAUGCUCUGCAAUCCAAAAUUUACUAAGACUGUUCUUAUGCAACAAAUAAAAAAGGGGGACAUGUCAGAGACCACUGAAACUGCUGAAUGACGCAGUAAACUUAGUGCAUGUGCAAAAGCACAGCCACUAAGGUAGCCUUAUUAACUGCACCUGACUGUUCAUCAACCUAUAUCACUUUCUCUAAUAAAAGGCAUGUGGGCUGAAA